UUUUUUUAUAUAUGCUGGAGAAAAUUCGAAGAAUAGAGGAUCCCAACCACGACGUAAGCCAUACAUGCUUAUAUGGGGCUGGGGAAGCUUUAAACCUUAGUUUUUGAAAGGUGGUGAAAACGUUUGGCAACAGGCAGGGUAAAAUGGUUCAAUGAUGCCAAGGGAUUUGGCUUCAUAGAACAAGAGGAUGGCGGCAAGGAUAUCUUUGUCCACUUCUCGGCUAUCCAGGACGAAGGUUUCAAGACCUUGCGCGAAGGCCAGGAAGUUAGCUUCGAUAUCAUCGAAGGCCCCAAAGGUCCACAAGCAACCAAUGUGACUAAGAUAUAAACUAAGCCUUGUUUAAAAAAGACCCCAAAGAGUCCAUUCGGACUUUUUGGGGUC
rnacentral:other from 1 species